rnacentral:rRNA from 1 species
GAUGAACGCUGGCGGCGUGCUUAACACAUGCAAGUCGAACGAUGAAGCCCAGCUUGCUGGGUGGAUUAGUGGCGAACGGGUGAGUAACACGUGAGUAACCUGCCCUUGACUCUGGGAUAAGCCUGGGAAACUGGGUCUAAUACUGGAUAUGACUUCUCAUCGCAUGGUGGGGGGUGGAAAGAUUUAUUGGUCUUGGAUGGACUCGCGGCCUAUCAGCUUGUUAGUGAGGUAAUGGUUCACCAAGGCGAAGACUGGUAGCCGGCCUGAGAGGGUGAACAGCCACACUAGUACUAAGACACGGACCAGACUCCUACAGUAGACAACAGUGGAAAAUAUUACACAAUGAGCGCAAGCCUGAUACAAAGAUGCCGCGUUAGUAAUGACGUCCUUCGUGUUAUAAACCUCUUUCAGUAAAUAAGAAGCUAUAUUGACGGUACCUACAGAAGAAGCACCGGCUAACUACGUG